AACGAACGCUGGCGGCAGGCUUAACACAUGCAAGUCGAGCGCCCCGCAAGGGGAGCGGCAGACGGGUGAGUAACACGUGGGAACGUACCCUUUACUACGGAAUAACGCAGGGGAAACUUGUGCUAAUACCGUAUGUGCCCUUUUGGGGAAAGAUUUAUCGGUAAGGGAUCGGCCCGCGUUGGAUUAGCUAGUUGGUGGGGUAAAGGCCUACCAAGGCGACGAUCCAUAGCUGGUCUGAGAGGAUGAUCAGCCACAUUGGGACUGAGACACGGCCCAAACUCCUACGGGAGGCAGCAGUGGGGAAUAUUGGACAAUGGGCGCAAGCCUGAUCCAGCCAUGCCGCGUGAGUGAUGAAGGCCCUAGGGUUGUAAAGCUCUUUCACCGGAGAAGAUAAUGACGGUAUCCGGAGAAGAAGCCCCGGCUAACUUCGUGCCAGCAGCCGCGGUAAU
rnacentral:rRNA from 1 species